GUGGGGAAUUUUGGACAAUGGGCGCAAGCCUGAUCCAGCAAUGCCGCGUGCAGGAAGAAGGCCUUCGGGUUGUAAACUGCUUUUGUACGGAACGAAACGGUCCGGGUUAAUACCCUGGGCUAAUGACGGUACCGUAAGAAUAAGCACCGGCUAACUACGUGCCAGCAGCCGCGGUAAUACGUAGGGUGCAAGCGUUAAUCGGAAUUACUGGGCGUAAAGAGUGCGCAGGCGGUUUUGUAAGACAGGCGUGAAAUCCCCGGGCUCAACCUGGGAAUUGCGCUUGUGACUGAAAGGCUGGAGUGCGGCAGAGGGGGAUGGAAUUCCGCGUGUAGCAGUGAAAUGCGUAGAUAUGCGGAGGAACACCGAUGGCGAAGGCAAUCCCCUGGGCCUGCACUGACGCUCAUGCACGAAAGCGUGGGGAGCAAACAGGAUUAGAUACCCGGGUAGUCC
rnacentral:rRNA from 1 species